GAAAGAAAGGAAGAAGAAGAAGAAAAAGGGUUCAAGCUAGGGUAAGGUUUUUGGUUAUUUUUCCUUAUGAUUAAUCUAGUAUUAUUUCUUGGGUUGUCUCUAACCUUGUUCAUCUUCUUCUUCAUCUUGAUCAUUCAAAAUAUACAACCCCCUAGGGUUUGAGCAAGGAGGAUUAUUGGACUCUUGGUUGGAUUUGAUUCUUGAUUUUCUAUCAAGAAGAGGUAGCAAAUAGGAUUUCUUUAUGGCACGCGUGGUGACGUGAGGAGUUCUUUCAUCAUGGGGUGUAUGGCGUGGGGUAAUCCUAUGGACGGAAAAACGAUCAACGUAGAACGCCAUUUAAAUUAUGUUUUGUUUUUAAGAGACUUUCCUAAAUUAUCAGUGGGACUCAGUUAUUAAAUUUUUGGUUUCUUUGAACUUUGCAUAAAAAUCUAUGUUUUAUUUUAAAACUUAUGGCGCCAACUUGCAUGGUUUUAAACAAGUCCCCCUGAGACUUUGAUAAUGAAUGGUAUUCUUUUAUAAACUA